ncrna:unclassified sequences TwoGGAY RNA
ACGCUACGCUGUUUAGAUGCUGUAGAAUUAUGCUUCACAAAUAGAAAUGCCCCACCAUGGACGGUGGGGCAAGGCGUUACGCACCACGGACGGUGCGUAAAAGCCGGUUUCGUCAUUCUGUGAAACUCUAUAUGCAUAAUUCAUACAGCAUCUUAACUGCAAAGCGU